rnacentral:rRNA from 1 species
UACAGAGGUCUCAAGCGUUGUUCGGAUUCAUUGGGCGUAAAGAGCGCGCAGGCGGUCGUUCAAGUCGAGUGUGAAAGCCCCCGGCUCAACUGGGGAGGGUCACUCGAUACUGAUCGACUCGAAGGCAGGAGAGGGUAGUGGAAUUCCCGGUGUAGUGGUGAAAUGCGUAGAUAUCGGGAGGAACACCAGUGGCGAAGGCGACUACCUGGCCUGUUCUUGACGCUGAGGCGCGAAAGCUAGGGGAGCAAACGGG